AUUCAGUUGGGCACUCUAGCGAGACUGCCGGUAAUAAACCGGAGGAAGGUGGGGAGUGACGUCAAAUCAUCAUGCCCCUUAUGACCUGGGCUACACACGUGCUACAAUGGUUGGUACAACGAGUUGCGAGUCGGUGACGGCGAGCUAAUCUCUUAAAGCCAAUCUCAGUUCGGAUUGUAGGCUGCAACUCGCCUACAUGAAGUCGGAAUCGCUAGUAAUCGCGGAUCAGCACGCCGCGGUCGAAUACGUUCCCGGGCCUU
rnacentral:rRNA from 1 species